CCCCCAGUGGCGCAAUUGAACAUGCUUGCCGGUACUUAUAAUGCCAAGGUUGUUAGUUCGAUCCUCACCUGGGGGA